AUUGAACGCUGGCGGCAGGCCUAACACAUGCAAGUCGAACGAGUGGCGGACGGGUGAGUAAUGUCUGGGAAACUGCCUGAUGGAGGGGGAUAACUACUGGAAACGGAGGCAAAUACCCAAAACCAUCAGAUGUGCCCAGAUGGGAUUAGCUGGUUGGGGGGGUACCGGCUAACCAAGGCGACGAUCCCUAGCUGGUUUGAGAGGAUGACCAGCCACACUGGAACUGAGACACGGUCCAGACUCCUACGGGAGGCAGCAGUGGGGAAUAUUGCACAAUGGGCGCAAGCCUGAUGCAGCCAUGCCGCGUGUAUGAAGAAGGCCUUCGGGUUGUAAAGUACUUUCAGCGGGGAGGCGUUACCCGCAGAAGAAGCACCGGCUAACUCCGUGCCAGCAGCCGCGGUAAUUC
rnacentral:rRNA from 1 species